rnacentral:lncRNA from 1 species
AAAUUAUAAAAUAAAAAAUAUUAAAAAUCAUUUUUAGAAAGUAGAAAUUAAAAGGACAAAAAUGCAAUUGGUCUCAUAAUUUUUGGACCAAUAAUGAGAGAGAUAUGAAUUUUAAAAAAGAAAUGGAAUAAAAAGGAAAUAAAAGAAUUAAAAUCAGAAAUUAAAAAAAUAAGGAAAUACGUGGACCGCUUGAUGGAGAUUCAUUAAUUGACGUGGAUCAUCACACGGCCAAGAAGCGCGUGUUCACCAUAUGCGUGAGUCAAAC